rnacentral:misc_RNA from 1 species
GUCACUAUCCAUAACAGCUGGGUAACAACAAAAGAGACUAUCUAGGCUAGGGUUUUUCUUCCCAGUUCUAGCUAGCUAUCUCUUUAUUCUGAGAAAAAAAAGAAGAGCAUACUAGUAAUACAGAUCUAACAAUAACAGACAUAAUUGACUAGAAAGGGGAGAAAAAGAACCUGCAUUUUGCGGUUUAAUUGUACUUAACUUUGCCAUGUUUUGUGAUUUUGUGAUUGAGUUUCGUUCGGAGUGCUAUUAACUAGACCAGCUAUGUUGAAAAUGUCGCUAUGAGAAAGAGGUCUUAAGCCUAAGAAAUCUUUGGUCAUAUCAUCGUUACCGCUGCCAUUGUUGUUUUUGGGAUUCAAAAUGCUAAAUGGAUCUUCGAAAUUUGAUCCUUCGAAUCCGGUAGGAUUAACGGAUGAGAAAGAAUUCAUCAUAUCCUGAAGAGUAGAAGGAGUGGGAUGAGGUGCGGUUGAUAAUGGGAUUGUAACAGGAGUAAUAACUGCAGAGGGAUUAGCAGCUUUAUUCCCAUAUGAAGCCAAGCUAUUGAAGAAACCAGUGGGGAGGUCUUCACGUGAAGACAAAUUGAGUCCAAAAUCUGUUGCGUUGCUAACAGACUCAGCAGCAGUAGCAGUAGCAGACACGUGAAUUUGGUGGGGUCUCAUCAGCAUGGCUGGGCCUGGGCCUGAUGAAACUGCAGAAACAGUACUCGCUUUGUUACUCAUGGUCGCACCCAUCUGCGCUGCCUUCUGCAACAACGCAGUUGCAGAAAUAUGUGGAGAGGCCAUCGCUCCAGAUGUAGGUCCGGAUAGACUAGGGUUAGGGUUCAUAAAGCCUUGUUGGUGGUGUUGGUGGCUCUGCGUGUAGUCCUGAUCACUGAACCUAGAUGAUUGGAAGAUCGAUGAACUUAGGUCAAUAGGUUGUGGUUGUGGAGGACCAGGUCCAGGACCAGGACCACCACCACCUCCAACCAAUAGCCAUGGCGGAAUCUCAGGCCUCAAGUUGAAACCAGUUUGUUGCUCUUUCUUCAAGGAAAAUGUAACUGGAAUUUCGUGGUUAAAUGGUUGAAACUGAAAAUUCAUUUGAGAUGUGGAAGAACCAGCUUGAGACGGCAGAAUUGGAUUUGCUGUUAUCGCUCUUGCACUCUCUUCCGCUAAAGCAUCGCAAAAUGCUCUGUGAGUUAUGAAACUAUCCCUCCUUGAAAAAAGCGUUCCACAGUCGCAUCUAUACUCUUUGGUACCACAAGUUUUGGAGUGAGCUUUCCAGUCAGAU